GAGAGGAUAAAUGAAGAAAUGAAGAUGUAAAAUCAGGAAGACUCUUUUCGUUGACCUUGGAGCUGUCAUGGCUGGUUGAACUUACAAAUUCUAUUAAACUGGGCCAUUUCCAGGUGAUAUAAUAAGAGUCCCAGUAGCAUAAAUUUUGACUGACUUCAGCCUCCCUCAAAGAAACUAGAGAACUAAUAAGUGGGAUGUAUCGACGUUCUAUAGGAAUUUACUAUACUAAGUAAUUUUUUCUGUACUGUUUCUCAGGAUGAGAUCAAAAUCAAUAACAUGGAUUUGGCAGGCUAGCAGAAGAAGGAAGAACUAUGUUGUAUCUCAAAAUACAGAGAAGAAGUAAUUAAUAAAAUUCCAUUUUUAUGUCUCUCACUUUAAAGACCUACAAAAAAUUAUCUUAGACCAAGGACUUGCAGCAAUGGUUUACAGACAUGGUCCUCAAAACAUUUUAAUUUCUCUCCAGAGUCUACCGUGUGUGUGUGUGUGUGUGUGUGUGUUAGGUGUGUGUUUGUUAGUGUGUGUGUAUUCUGAAAGUAGAAUGUUAAUCCACUUACAGACAGGGAAGGGAAGAUAUCAUGUACAAAAUCGUUUUGUUUCCAUAUUUAGCUAACCUGAAAAAUUGCUGCUGGUAUACUGAGGCCAGGGAUGUGACAGAUUCAGAUAAGGUUGAUCAUUUUUUUCUAAAAAGUAUCUAUCCGUUUUUCAUUACUAGGAUAACAACAGAAAAAAAAGUUACUUACCAGGUGAAGUUACUAUGAGCUUAGUCCCUUCAGCAAAUAUCUUGAUCCAACCAGUGCUAUCACACUGGUUGUAAUCCCAUCCUGCACAGUAGUAAAUGGCCAUGUCUUCUUUCUCUACGGACUUGAUGGUAAGGAUUGAAGUGAGAGUUUGAGAAUUCUUUCUUGCUUCCACUUUGUUGCUCCUCUUACCCAUGCUGCCUUGAACUGCAGAUUUUGUUGAGAUAAUAUAGAUCAGAUGCUCCAAAGCCUGAUUCGGUUUCUGCCAGUACCAGUGAAUGACAUCGUUUUCAAAGUUUGUGCUCCAUAUCUUGCAAGGCUGCCUCUUGUGAACCCCUUCACAGGACUGAAAGCAAAAAGCACCCGAGACAAAACAGUCGACAUGGAUUUCCAGCUUCAGCGCUGCCGGGGUACAGCUGCUGCCAUCCUUGGCUGUGAUUUUAUCUACUUUCAAGAUGGAAUCCCACUGCACAUCCAACGUGGACAUGGCCAGCUGGUGGAGCCCCUCAGGUGGCUGGUGGCCCUUCUGCUGCCGGUACCAGUAGAUGUAGUUGAUCCUGGUACAGACCAAGCACUGCAGGAUGACCGAGUUUCCCUAGUGCCCCAGGACAUGGGCCAGCUGCUCCUGCCCGAUGAGCCACCAGCCAGCUGUCAGGGAGACAGCAGUGAGGGCACUUGGAGGCAACCACCCAAGUCCACUCUGAGAAGGGUUGAACCUGCUUUAUUAAAAGGACUGAGGAUCAUGUAUGUUGGUGGGUUUGGACUCUCCUGUAAGGUAAAUGGGUGUGUCAGGGGGUGGAGGUGGGGAAGGAGUGUCUGUGAUCUUGUGGGUGUGAUCUCUUUAUUAGAGGAUUUUUGUUCAUUGAAGUAGGUGUAUGAGUUGUUAUUGUUAUUGUUGCUGUUGUUUAAGUAGUUUAGGGUGCCAUGUCAUGUAAUAUUUGGAAUAUACAUAAACCAAAAACUUGUUAUUUACCUGAACUUCCAAAUUCCCUGGGUAUUGUCUAUUUUGUUUGGCAGCCCUACCCUCAGAAAGUGAACUGAGAUCUGCAGUGCACCUGAAUUCACAGAUGGAGAUAUAGGGGACGAAACAAGUAGAGUAAUGUUAAUGUGAAAAUUCAGUAGGGCAUACACAGAUUUUCACCUCCUCUAUAAGAAGUAUAUAGAGAUACACAUUUAAAAUAUACAUAAUGAGAUGUAGAACAAUGUCCCUCUUUGUUGUUGUGUUGGCCUAGCUCAGAGAGUUCAGUUUCUGCUGUCAUCACAGCUGUGAAUGAGAAAGGGAGGGGGCUCUGGUUGGUCUCCCUCUGCCUCUGGACCACACGUGCAGGACAUGAAGCUGCCAUAGGAGCAGCUCUGAAAGCUGAGUUCUCACCGUCUGUUGCAGGAAGUCAGGGACCCCGAAUGGAGGGACCAGCUGAAGCUGCAGCAGAAGAACAUAAAUUGUGAAGAUUUCAUGGACAUUUAUCAGUUCCCCAAAUUAAUACUUUUAUAAUUUCUUACGCCUGUCUUUACUGCAGUCUUUGAACAUAAAUUGUGAAGAUUUCAUGGACAUUUAUCACUUCCCCAGUCAAUACUCUUAUAAUUUCUUAUGCCUGUCUAUACUUUAAUCUCUUAAUCCUGUCAUCUUCAUAAGCUGAGGGUGUAUGUCACCUCAGGACCCUGCGAUGAUUGCAUUAUCUGUACAAAUUGUUUGUAAAACACGUGUGUUUGAACAAUAUAAAAUCUGGGCACCCUGAAAAAGAACAGGAUAGCAGCAAUUUUCAGGGAACAAGGGAUAUAACCAUAAGAUCUGACUGCCUGUGGUGUCAGGCACAACAGAGUCAUAUUUUUCUUCUUGCAGAAAGCAAAUAGGAGAAAUAUCACUGAAUUCUUUUCCCAGCAAGGAAUAACCCUGGGGAAGGAAUGCAUUCCCAGGGGUAGGCCUAUUGACGACCGCUCUAGGACUGUCUGUCUUAUGCGGUUGAAGAUAAGGGACGAAAUACGUCCUGGUCUCCUGUAGUGCCCUCAGGCUUACUAGGUUGGGGAAAUUCCAGGCUGGUGAAUUCUAGUCAGACCAGUUUUCUGCUCUCGAAUCCUGUUUCCUGGUAAGAUGUUUAUCAAGAUAGUAUGUACCCAGUGGGACAUGGAAGCUCAUCAGUAAUUCUAAUUUUGCCCUGGCCUUGUGAUCUUGCUCUGCCCUUCUGCCCUUGUGAUCUUUUAUUGCCCUUUGAAACAUGUGAUCUUUGUGACUUACUCCCUAUUCAUACACCCCUCCCCUUUUGAAAUCCCUAAUAAAAAUUUGCUGGCUUUGCGGCUCA
rnacentral:lncRNA from 1 species